rnacentral:rRNA from 1 species
AACGAACGCUGGCGGCGUGCUUAACACAUGCAAGUCGAGCGAGAAAGGGAGCUUCGGCACCUGAGUAAAGCGGCGCACGGGUGAGUAACACGUGGGUAACCUGCCUUUCAGUGGGGGAUAACAGCCCGAAAGGGCUGCUAAUACCGCAUUCGUCCACACGGUCACAUGUCUGUGUGGAGAAAGAGGCGCAAGUCUCGCUGGAAGAUGGGCCCGCGGUCCAUUAGCUAGUUGGUGGGGUAAAGGCCUACCAAGGCGACGAUCCGUAGCUGGUCUGAGAGGAUGAUCAGCCACACUGGAACUGAGACACGGUCCAGACUCCUACGGGAGGCAGCAGUGGGGAAUAUUGCGCAAUGGGGGAAACCCUGACGCAGCCAUGCCGCGUGUGUGAAGAAGGCC